GACGAACGCUGGCGGCGUGCUUAACACAUGCAAGUCGAACGCUGAAGCUCAGCUUUUGUUGGGUGGAUGAGUGGCGAACGGGUGAGUAACACGUGAGUAACCUGCCCCCUUCUUUGGGAUAACGCCCGGAAACGGGUGCUAAUACUGGAUAUUCACUGGUCUUCGCAUGGGGGUUGGUGGAAAGGGUUUUUCUGGUGGGGGAUGGGCUCGCGGCCUAUCAGCUUGUUGGUGGGGUGAUGGCCUACCAAGGCUUUGACGGGUAGCCGGCCUGAGAGGGUGAACGGGCACAUUGGGACGGAGAUACGGCCCAGACUACUACGGGAGGCAGCAGUGGGGAAUAUGGCACAAUGGGCGCAAGCCUGAUGCAGCGACGCCGCGUGAGGGAUGGAGGCCUUCGGGUUGUGAACCUCUUUCGCUCAUGGUCAAGCCGCAACAAUGGUUGUGGUGAGGGUAGUGGGUAAAGAAGCGCCGGCUAACUACGUG
rnacentral:rRNA from 1 species